UAGGGAAUCUUCGGCAAUGGACGAAAGUCCGACCGAGCAACGCUGCGUGAGUGAAGAAGGUUUUCGGAUCGUAAAACUCUGUUGUUAGAGAAGAACAAGGACGUUAGUAACUGAACGUCCCCUGACGGUAUCUAACCAGAAAGCCACGGCUAACUACGUGCCAGCAGCCGCGGUAAUACGUAGGUGGCAAGCGUUGUCCGGAUGUAUUGGGCGUAAAGCGAGCGCAGGCGGUUUCUUAAGUCUGAUGUGAAAGCCCCCGGCUCAACCGGGGAGGGUCAUUGGAAACUGGGAGACUUGAGUGCAGAAGAGGAGAGUGGAAUUCCAUGUGUAGCGGUGAAAUGCGUAGUUAUAUGGAGGAACACCAGUGGCGAAGGCGGCUCUCUGGUCUGUAACUGACGCUGAGGCUCGAAAGCGUGGGGAACAAACAGG
rnacentral:rRNA from 1 species